UACCUCUUAUGCUUGACUGUAUUAGAAAUAUAAAAGAAAGCUUGCCCUGCUCCUACUUAUAUGAAGAUUGGAUUAGCAUACUCGACGAAGAAUCUCUUCUUGCAAAAAUGUCUGUUAUACAAAGAUGUCUAUUAUACAAAUCAUGAUUGACAACUGUGAAGAUAUAUUUGGUGAUGAUGGCCGUAUCAUUUGUAAUGAUAAUAAGAAGAGGUCAGAUGACAUAAAGACUUCACUAAAUUCUGCUGCAGGAAAAAAUGAAGCAACUCCAACAUGCAAAUUUCUACAACAGGAACUUCCUCAUGACUAAAGAAGGUGUCAGUCAUUCUAUUUCCAUGUUCCCUUCUACCUCCCACUUAACCAGAGCAGAAGGAACUACUAAAAGAAACAACUUCUGUUUUACAUUUAACCAUACUAUUUGUUAAAAAUAGUUUCACUCACUAUAUUUACUUUAUGGUGUACAUUAAGC
rnacentral:lncRNA from 1 species